rnacentral:rRNA from 1 species
GAUGAACGCUGGCGGCGUGCCUAACACAUGCAAGUCGAACGGAAUUUACAUGAAGCCUAGCGAUUGUUAAUUUAGUGGCGGACGGGUGAGUAACGCGUGGGUAACCUGCCUUGUACUGGGGGACAACAGUUGGAAACGACUGCUAAUACCGCAUAAGCGCACAGCUUCGCAUGAAGCAGUGUGAAAAACUCCGGUGGUACAAGAUGGACCCGCGUCUGAUUAGCUGGUUGGUGAGGUAACGGCCCACCAAGGCGACGAUCAGUAGGGGUUCUGAGAGGGUGAACGGCCACAUUGGGACUGAGACACGGCCCAAACUCCUACGGGAGGCAGCAGUGGGGAAUAUUGCACAAUGGGGGAAACCCUGAUGCAGCGACGCCGCGUGAGUGAAGAAGUAUUCGGUAUGUAAAGCUCUAUCAGCAGGGAAGAAGAAAUGACGGUACCUGACCAAGAAGCCCCGGCUAACUACGUG